AUACGGAGGGGGCUAGCGUUGUUCGGAAUUACUGGGCGUAAAGCGCGUGUAGGCGGAUCGUUAAGUCAGGGGUGAAAGCCCGGGGCUCAACCCCGGAACUGCCCUUGAUACUGGCGAUCUAGAGUCCGGAAGAGGUGGGCGGAAUUCCCGGUGUAGAGGGGAAAUUCGUAGAUAUCGGGAGGAACACCAGUGGCGAAGGCGGCUCACUGGUCCGGUACUGACGCUGAGACGCGAAAGCGUGGGGAGCAAACAGGAUUAGAAACCCUAGUAGUCC
rnacentral:rRNA from 1 species